CCUCCUUUUCUUUUGUUCCCAUGAUGACCUGAGGCAGAGGGAAAGGGCCACUGACCCCUUGGUAUGUUGUCUCUGGGGCCAGAUGCUUCCAAUCCACUGGUUCCCUCCUCCAGCCCCAGGACACAG